rnacentral:lncRNA from 1 species
UUGCAGAUGGGCUCGGAUCCUGUGUUGCUGUGGCUGUGGUGUAGGCAGCAGCUGCAGUUCUGAUUCAACCCCUAGCCUGGGAACUUCCAUAUGCCGCAGGUGCAGCCCUUUAAAAAAAAAGAAGGUGCAUCCUGCAUCUCAGUGGCCUCCUGAACACUCACUGACUCCCAACUGAUCACAUUAGGGGAGCCAGGGACCCACGGUCCCUGAAGCACUGUCCCCUGGGCCCCCUCCUUUGAGCUCCAGGAAAUCAAAGCCUGGAGGAUGACAUUGGCAGCCUCCUGGGGUGGCUGAGUCAGAGCAGAAAGUCAGGCUGGAAUUCACUAAGUCACACUUGCCUUCAUUAGGCUAAUUAACUUUCUAUGUGAAUUAGCUCUGUGAGCUGACUUAGGAAAUCCAUUAUUGGGCCCGGCCAGUUCGUGUGCAGUGGUGCCUAGGAAGCCGAUCCGGACAUUUCCAUAUCCACCAAUUAAGGCUGCUUAAUUAUUAACUUAGGGCUGCGUGGCUAAUGAGGAGUUGCAUUCAUUGUGUGCUUCUUGAGAAUUUUAAGACCGUUCAGAAUUAGCCGCAAUAUGGUUAAUGACCAUGCUAGAAAUUGUAGGUUACGAUCCAUGUUAUAGAUUAUUGGGAAGAUAAGCCAAGGCUAAGGGCUGAUUUGUGCAAGGUCUUGUAGAUGGAGAGUGAGAGGUGCUCAGCAUGUGUAGAGCAGGCUGCUGCAGGUGGUUUCCAGCCCACACACAGCUGGUACCUGGAAAGGCUGCUUUCAGAGGGAGUGUCCAUUCACGUCUGGGGUCUCAGGCUAGCCCACCCUCCAGGACGCGAUGCACCAGGCCGCCGAUUGACUGGGCUCUAGGGUCACUUACUCUAUGCCAGGUCCUCCACGGCCCUCUGAGGUUAACCCCCUUGGACAGAUGAGAAAGCUGAGGCCCAGAGGGGAAAGCUGCCUUCCCCAAGGUCGAGUGGCUGAUAGACUCAGAUCCAAGCAGUCUGGCUUUGAAAUUCUAGGCUAAAUGGCUACUUUAGUUUAUUGAUUUAUUUAUUUGGGGGCUGUGCCCUUCGCAUGUGGAGAUUCCUGGGCCAGGAAUCAAACCUGUGCCACAGCAAUGGCAACAGCAGAUUCUCAAUACCCACUGAGCCACAGGGAACUACUCUUUUUAUUUUUUUAAGUGGGAAAACUUGAAAACCCUUGGUGCCCCUGGAGAAGGAACACUUCUUACUCUCAAGUCGCAAGAGGCGCCUCCCCAGGAGGCCUGCUCUGAACGGAUCACUUGUGUGUGUAUAGGAACCUUUGUGCCCAGAGGGCGCAGUACCUUAUGCUCUCUGGCACCACCCACAUGGAACCCAUUUGACCGGGACCCCAUGGAUGACAACCUUGGGAAACUCUUCCUUGGGAGCACAAGUGGCGUUUCGUUCCUGGUGUCCUGGGCAUGCUGUCUCCUGUUCUCAGGGUGGAGGGACCACCUUUGCAAUUUAGGUGUUGGUCACCAAGCAUCACCAAGCCCUCAUGCAGCUGCAGCUGGGAAGACGGGGGUUUCAGGAGGUACAGACUUUAUUUUUAGCCCCACAGCCUCUGUGAUUGUAUCACUAUGGAGAUCCCUCUCCUUUGGCCCUGCAUGGAGCCCAUCAUCCAUAACCAUCUUGUGCUUUGGCCAAACUGCACUGGAGUCCAGAGGCCCCAUUUUGGCUAUGCUGUGUGACCUUGGGCAGGGUUACCUCAAUUCCCUGGGCCUUUAUUUCCCUUUCUGAAAAUUUGGGAUAAUAAUUCCUGCCUAGUACCUGCUUCUCUGGAUCUGGUGAUGUAAUCACUUUGGGCAAAUUUUGAAUCUACAAUGAGGUUCAAGUGCUGUGUGUGUAUGUGUUUGUGUGUGUUGAGUAAUUAUUCUAAUGCCAAGGUUGCCCUCAAUAGGUCAUCUAGAAUUUUUCCUACUUCUUCUUUGUCCAAUUUUCCCUGUAUAUUGGCUUCAUUCAAAGGCAGGGGAAGAGGAGAUUGAAGGGGAAAAUAUUCUAGUCCUUUUCAUACACUAUCAUAAAAGAUCUAUCGAGGGAGGUUGACUCCAUCCCCCUUCCUGCCACCUGUGUCCCCCUGCCCCGCCCCCAUGGAGUUUCUGAAAAUACUCUGUCUUCCGUUGCUGUCAUAGAUUUACAGCCCCACCUCCUGCAGGAAGUGACACUCAGCACAUUUGCUCUGUUCCCACAGUGGACAUAACUGAGGCUCAGAGUGGUUAAAGUAUGUAUCCAGAGUUGCACAGCCAUAAGCACCAGUGCUGGAACCAGAACUGAAUUCUCUUGACUCUCCAGCCUGUGUUUCUCCAUCUCUGCAGAGAACAGCAAGCAGAAAGUAGACAGACACCAGCCAGCCUUGUCCGGGGCUCCUCUAGCACUUGCCUUCUCCUUUCUUCUAACAUCUCAGGCUUGGCUCUUAUCCAAAAGAAGAAAAUGACAGGGAGUUCCCAUCGUGGCUCCGUGGGUUACAAACCCGACUAGUAUUCUUGGAGAUUCAGGUUCAAUCCUGGCCUUUCUCAGUGGGUUAAGGAUGCGGCAUUGCUGUGGCUGUGGUGUAGGCCGACAGCUGUAGCUCCAAUUUGACCCCUAGCCUGGGAACUCCCAUAUGCCGCAGGUGCAGC